GUGGGGAAUAUUGCACAAUGGGGGAAACCCUGAUGCAGCGACGCCGCGUGAAGGAAGACGUAUUUCGGUAUGUAAACUUCUAUCAGCAGGGAAGAAAACAGACGGUACCUGACUAAGAAGCCCCGGCUAACUACGUGCCAGCAGCCGCGGUAAUACGUAGGGGGCAAGCGUUAUCCGGAUUUACUGGGUGUAAAGGGGGCGCAGACGGCCAUGGCAAGCCCGGUGUGAAAGGCAGGGGCAUAACCCCUGGACUGCACUGGGAACUGUCAGGCUGGAGUGCCGGAGGGGUAAGCGGAAUUCCUGGUGUAGCGGUGAAAUGCGUAGAUAUCAGGAGGAACACCGGCGGCGAAGGCGGCUUACUGGACGGCAACUGACGUUGAGGCCCGAAAGCGUGGGGAGCGAACAGGA
rnacentral:rRNA from 1 species